rnacentral:rRNA from 1 species
UACGGAGGGGGCUAGCGUUGUUCGGAAUUACUGGGCGUAAAGCGCACGUAGGCGGCUUUGUAAGUUAGAGGUGAAAGCCCAGGGCUUAACCCUGGAAUUGCCUUUAAGACUGCAUCGCUAGAAUCGUGGAGAGGUGAGUGGAAUUCCGAGUGUAGAGGUGAAAUUCGUAGAUAUUCGGAAGAACACCAGUGGCGAAGGCGGCGACCUGGUCCAGCACCGACGUUCAGGCACGAAAGCGUGGGGAGCAAACAGG